rnacentral:rRNA from 1 species
AACCUCCGCAAUGUACGAAAGUGCGACGGGGGGAUCCCAAGUGUUAUGCUUUUUUGUAUAACUUUUCAUUAGUGUAAAAAGCUUUUAGAAUAAGAGCUGGGCAAGACCGGUGCCAGCCGCCGCGGUAACACCGGCAGCUCGAGUGGUAGCUGUUUUUAUUGGGCCUAAAGCGUUCGUAGCCGGUUUGAUAAGUCUUUGGUGAAAGCUUGUAGCUUAACUAUAAGAAUUGCUGGAGAUACUAUCAGACUUGAAGUCGGGAGAGGUUAGAGGUAUUACCGGGGUAGGGGUGAAAUCCUAUAAUCCUGGGAGGACCACCUGUGGCGAAGGCGUCUAACUGGAACGAUCUUGACGGUGAGUAACGAAAGCCAGGGGCGCGAACCGGAUUAGAUACCCGGGUAGUCCUGGCCGUAAACGAUGUGGACUUGGUGUUGGAAUGGCUUUGAGUUGUUCCGGUGCCGAAGGGAAGCUGUUAAGUCCACCGCCUGGGAAGUACGGUCGCAAGACUAGAAUUAAAAGGAAGU